GGUAGAAGGCAAGGCAAUGCCAUGCAAUGUCACCAAAGCGACAAAAUAUCAGUUUCAGAAGUAAAGUCAAUUUUUAUUUUGCAAAAGCGAGCUAUUCGAGCAAUAUAUAACUUGCCCCGUCGCGAAUCUUUGAGAGAACUAUUUAAAACUAUAAAUAUUCUUACAGUGCCUUCUCAAUUCAUUUACGAAAAUAUUAUGUACGUGAGAAAAAAUCAACAAUUGUUUGAAAAAAGAAGCGACAGACACAAUUUUAAUACGAGAGCCCUUGUAAUGUGGGAAGUGAUUCCACUAGGCUGGACCAGUGUCAAAGAUUUCAUCCCAUCGUGGUGAGGCCAAGAUGGAAAUAACUGAGACAGUCUGCAUCAACAAUUUAUUGCCAUUUUCAAGUUCUCAAACAUUAAAAACAAAACAUUGUGGAAGAAGAAAAUGAAAUCGGUGCUUAAAUCGUUUCUACAUUGAACUAAUUUCAAGUUUGAAACACAGAAUGAAAUGAAAAUCCUUUCAAGAGUUUGAAAUACUCAAGAUUGUAAUAAUAUUUACAAAAUUUUAGGUAUUUCAUCUUCUUUCCAAAUUUUCUUUGAGCCUGAGCUCAAAAAAGCUAGUUUUAUACAAACAAUAUUGAAGUAACCCGGCAUUGCUGCAAUAAUUGCAUUUAUAGAUCAUUUAUUUUGUUACAUUACCUGAUUGUGUUUUUUGUAUUAAAUUUAUUAAAUAUAAAUAAAUAUACCAAAGAAAAUCACGUAAUAUAUGUAAA